UAAGUAUAUAUGAGUAAGAUGCAUUUACUAGACAAAGAGGAAUAAAAUAAAAGAAAGUGAUAAGGAAAGGUUCUAUUACUAAAGUCUAUUUAACAGCCAUAUCAAUGGUUUAAAACGCUUACAGACCAAACGGUCCAUAAAACUUGAACACCAAAAAUAUCAACAAAUAAAAGAUAUGUUGGCAUUCGUAAUUACAAGUAAGCAAAUACUUAUUAACUAGAACCUAGUAGGUUCGUCGAACUUGCUUUCAUCAUCACCAACCUGACUUCUAAAGUCUUCAAAGUCGGUAGCGUUGCUUUCUCUUCGUUUGUAUUGAGCAAAGACAUUCCAUUCUUCAAGAUACGAGGAAGAGUAUAAGUUCGGAAGAUUAGAAAACGAAGGUAACAUGGCAGAACCGGCAUUCUGUAUAGGAGAUAGUGAUCUUUGUACAUUGAGGUCUCUUUUAAAUUUUUGAGGUUUCUGAGGAGGAGUAAGGGUUAAGGAAAACUUUUGUAAGCUGUUCAAAGUGCCUUCAACUAAAUAUCCUUUUUCCUUGCAAUGGAGGACAAAAUGAUACCAUAAAGCAUGUUUAGCAAGGACUUUUGGAUUACCGAGAACAAUUACACCAUACUUUGCUCGAGUCAAUGCAACGUUCAACCUUCUUGGAUCGUUAACAAAACCAAUACCUUGGUGUUCACUAGAACGUACACACGACAAAAUAAUGAAGUCCUUUUCUCUUCCUUGGAACGCAUCCACCGAUGCUACUUCAACAGCUUUAUAAAGAUCCUUCUGCAUUGAUCCGUUAUUUUGCAUGUACUGAACAAUAUAGGAACGCUGACCAUCAUAUGGAGUAACAAUACCAAUUUGCUCAGGAAGCACGUUGCUUCUUAAAAAUGUGGUAACAAUUUUUUCACACGUUGAGGCUUCCGUUCUGUUUAAAAAUGAUGUACCGCUAGCCGACAGCUCUUCCUGACCGAAAUUUGCAUAAAACAUUAAUGGCGAAUCAGGUUGUAUCCAUGGAAAAUCAACAUGUCUAGCAAUACGCUCAGAAGUAGUGACACCAUUUUGAAGAGUACCUUCAUAAAAAGUGUUCGAUGGAAAUUCUGAAAGACAGGGAUGCAUACGAUAUUGCACAACUAAUCUGAAAGGAGAGUUUCCUAAUAUAAUCAGUCGCUCAAAAAGUGAUUGGGAAAGGCUAGCUAAUGCAACCUUUUUAUUCAUAACAACCGGUCCCAGUUGUUGGUGAUCACCAACAAGUACUACUUGUUUGGCGCCUAAAACUAAAGGAAUCAUGCAUUCAGGUUCUGAAGCCUGUGUAGCUUCGUCAAUAAGUACUGAACGAAAUUUGUACUUGGAAAUCCUUCUAUCACCAGCACCAACACAAGUACAACAAAUGACAUGAGCCGCACGUAAUAGUUCUUUUUCGGCAGCAGCAACCAAAAUACGCAGUUUUUUUUCAUCCUGAAUAGAUAAUUCGUUAUUUUCACUUCGUAGCUUCAAUAAACGUUGUAACUCUGGAUUAAACUUAUAGUUUUUAAUUUGCUCAUGAAGAGAUAAAAAGGAAACCGAUGAUUCUAUGUCUUCUCUAGACUUUGCGGCAACUCGAACGACACGAAGUCCUGUACGAUGUAUUUUUUCAGCAAGUUGGUCAACAGCAACAUUCGAAGGUGCACAAACUAAUACGGGAGAAUGGGAUUUACGCUUGCGUGAUUGCAUCGUGGCCAGGUGAUAGACUACAGAUGCUGAGGUGACAGUUUUUCCAGUACCUGGCGGCCCUUGAAUUAACGAGAGUGGCUUACUUAAUACUGCACGAACAGCUUCGCUCUGACUAGCAUUCAAUUUUGGCAGAUUAGGCACCGAUAAAUCAGACGGUAAUUUUGGUUUCAGGAAGGAAGGAGGGAUAUCGUGUCCUAGCAAUUUAUGAUACAAAAAGCUUGAAAGACGUGAUCCGUCUGUAGCAAAUAACCUCAAAGCAGUCUGCAUUCGAUCAAAUGAAGUAGAUUUCCAAACAUAAUCGACGGAAAAAUUAUGAGUACAUUCGAUAGGUACUUUAUCUGAACGCUUCAGUUCUAAACCUACCUCAUCUGAAACGUUGUUAGGAAUUUUAAUAACAUAUCCUGUGGAGCUCCAGGGUGCUCUUAGUUCUCCUUCAUAUGUAAGCUUCAUUUCAUCUCCUAUGGCCAACCGAAUUUCACCAGAUUCAAGUUUGGGAAGGAGAAACCAAGCAGUAUAUCGUUUAUUGAUAGCUUGAUCCCACCGAACCACAACAUCUUUUUGAGUCUGCGAUUCUUUGAGUCGUUUAUCAUAGUCAGCCUCCGCUUGAAUGAGCGGAGAAAGAACUGCUUGAUACGCGUGAGCAUCUUUAUAUCGAAGUUCUACUGAAGGUAAUGAAUCAUCCUCAAUGGGCUUAUCCAAGUCUUCGAGGUUAGCAUUAGGGUCUUUACGCCAAAGUUCUUCAAGCCUAACCAUUUGCUGUGAAGUGAUUGGGAUUGCAAGCUUUUGUUCCUCUUCGGAUGGAGGAGUUAUCAACCAUGGAAGAAACUGACGAUCUGAAAUAAUGGGUUGCCAUUGAGUCAAGUCCCAGUUCAUAUCCUUAGCUAUGCUAGCUCUAGCACAAGGUUGUCGGCAUAAUAAAACAACCACUGUCUUAGCUUUUGCUGGUAUAAAUCCUAAUAGAAACACAUUUCUCGUUCCACAAUUAUAACACUCAAGUACUGUGUCUGAAAGAGAAGAAUGGCUAUGUAAAGCAACCUGCUUAUGUCGAGCACGAACUAGGUGACUAAUGAUAUGCGAAGCUCCAGAUUUCCCUCUUACAUUACAAAAC